ACAAUAUUUGGUUUCUUCUAUUUCUCUUUCUGUUAGUUUUCUCGUUGCUUCGAGACAGACUUUGAGGAUAUAGCCCAGGAACACCUAAAACCUCCGUCCUCCUGCCUGGCUUCCUGAGUGGAGAGUGAGAACACAGGAAGCCGUCCACAGACUUUCCUCGUGUACGGGUUCAUCCACCCUGCUGCUGAGGCACUCCCUCACUGGUGUCAGAACCCUGUUCUUCAGGAUUCCAGUGCAGACCGAAGACCAGCAUCCCCUAGGAAUCCUACAGGACUCCAGCACUGGAUCUGAACUGCUGGGAUAUCCAGCUUCAAGGACUGAGCAACUAAAGACAACUGCUGAGAACUACCCAGAGCACAGACUAUAAGCCACUCUACUGAGGGGCCACUCACGUCUGUAUCUAUCUGCAUGUGUGUGUGACACAUACUACAUGUUCAUUAUACAUGUACAUAUAUCAAUUCAUCAGUUCUAUUCCUUCAGAAAGCUAACACACAGAGACAGAUACACAGGCAGACAGAGACACUCAGGCAGACAAGGCAGAGAGAUGAGGGCUGGCAGAAGUGGCUUCCUUGUGGUGGUCUGAGGAGCCUCUUUACACUUCUAGAGAUAUGUGUCUGCCACUGCCCGGUUGCUGAGCAGAGACCUCUAUACAGUUCACUGCUACGUGUCCCUGGGUGGUAUGAGAGGGACUGGUGGGGUAGCCUCCCUGGUGUCCCAUGGGGAAUAGAUUCAACUCUUUCCUGUGAUCUGUGGGUGAGCUUUUUGGCCACAGACGCUGCACAGAGCACAGACACUUGUGUGGAGGCUUUGGGGAAAUCCCACCAUAGUGCCAGUGUAAGGCAG
rnacentral:lncRNA from 1 species